rnacentral:tRNA from 1 species
CAGAUAUUAGUUUAAUUAAAAAUUUUAAUUUUGGAGAUUAAUGAUAAAUAUUUAUUUAUAUCUGA